UGAGCGUCGAGUAUAAUAUCGAGAACAAAUUAUUUCACAACUUCUUUUAUGGUAAUGAAAUAAUUCUACGUUUCUUCUUCUUCCUCUUUAGAACCUGAAAAAAAUAGAAAAAGGAAAAAAAUGGAGUUUUCUGCAAUAAGCAGGACCAGUGCUCCAUUGUUAAAUCUCAAUCAAAGUGUACUCCGUACAAACUGUGUCCCCUCUUUAAAGAAUCCCUAUUCAUAAUUUUCUAUUCCUUUGUCCCCACAAUGUUGGAGCGAGCAAGCAUGGGGUCAGUCAUAUAUAAUUGUCGCCUUUCGAAACCCUAGGAUCAAUAACAGUGUUACCUGAUACAAGGCUUGAGCUAGGAGAUUCCUCCACAUCACUCCAGUUAUCAGUGGUUUAAUUCGUCCAACUGGUUUUUUGUUCAUUAGAUCGCUACUGGGUCGCUCAGUUGCCAAAGCUAAGGCCCCCAGAGUAUCCAUUAUGAGAUUGACCCACAGAAGUUGGACUGCUGUCAGAGGGACUUCUCCAGAUGAAGCAGCAGCAACAAAGUUGAUAACAAGGGCAGCAACAUUUACUUGCAGGAGCAUCAUUUGUUCCAUCGCCUGUUACUGCUACAACAUGGCCUUUCUGCUUCAAGCAUUCAACCAUCAAAAGCUUGUCAAGUGGUGAAGAUCUUGCCAUCACUCGUAUUUUUUCGACAGUCUCCAUCCUC